CUUUUUGAUUUUAAUUUAAAGUCUAAUCUGCCCCCUGAUUAAUAAAUUGAAGGGCUGCAGUAAUUUGACUGUACAAAGGUAGCAUAAUCAUUAGUCUUUUAAUUGAAGACUUGUAUGAAAGAUUUAAUGAAAUAUAAACUGUCUCUUAUUUAUAAAUAGAAUUUAAUUUUUUAGUUAAAAAGCUAAAAUAAACUUAAAAGACGAGAAGACCCUAUAGAGUUUUAUAAUUUAUAAUUUAAAAUAUUUAUAUAAAAUUUUAUUAUUAAAAAUUAAAAAUUAUUUUAUUGGGGUGAUAAAAAAAUUAAAUUAACUUUUUAAAAAUUAUACAUAGAUAAGUGAUUAUUUGAUCCAGAUUAAAGAUUAUAAGAAAAAAUUACCUUAGGGAUAACAGCGUAAUAUUUUUUUUUAGUACAAAUAAAAAAAAAAGUUUGCGACCUCGAUGUUGGAUUAAGAUAAAAUUUAAAUGCAAAAGUUUAAAAUUUUGAUCUGUUCGAUCAUUAAAAUCUU
rnacentral:rRNA from 1 species